AGAAAAUCUAGAAUGGAAAGAGUGAUCAGGGUUCCUACCGUGAGCAGCAAGAUGGCAGACAUUCCAGCAAAUGAGUAUUCAUGGAGAAAAUAUGGUCAAAACCAAUCAAAGGCUCUCCUUUCCUUGGAUGUGCAUCAAUAAGGAGGGCUCAAGCUGUUCUGCAACCAAAUAUGGGGGUGUCCAUAAAUUUGAAAGUCUAACCGUCGCUGAGCUUAAGGCGUACGUACUAAAUUCAUAGCCACAUGAGGUACUAGACCUCAUUCCCUGCUUUGUAAGUCAUUUACACCCCCCUCUUAUAUUUUUGAUGUGCUGGGAGAUGAUAAUAUCCUGGUGAUGACUUGCUUGGACCUGGAGCGGUGAAAAUUAACCCUACUGAUGGGUUUAUAAUUGGAUCCCCUGAGAAACAGCUGAGGGAGAUGCUACUGGAAUGCUUGACAGAUUAGAAAAGCGAUGAUAUGUUUUCACUUGAAGUUGAUCACGGAAAGGCUUUCCAAAGACGAGAUUCACAUUCUUUGAGAAGUAUUCAAGAUUGUAGAUAAUGAGAAGAGCGGGAGAGUAACUUAUAAGAAACUCAAAAAGCGUUCUUGAGAUAUUGGCAAUAAUCUUACAACUUGGAUAUCAAUAGCCUGCCACAAUGCUUGGAUCCCUAGCUAUUGCAGUGGGUCCAUUUGAUUAAGGGAAAUUAAAUUUGGAGCUUGACGGUUGAAUGAUACAUUAGUUUGGUUUUGAGGACCAAUCAGACACUGUCACACUUCUUUGCAACGUCUGAGGAAUCACAAAGGAAGACUAGAAAUCUGAAGUUUGGCAGUAAAAUCUAGGAUGCUGCAAAGAAUCUUUCUGAUGUUCUCUUUCUGCUCUUAACAUGUUAGCCGGAUAAUAUUGUGUGUAUGAUGAGUAUCUUAUUGUUGACAAGUGAUAACAUUUACUUGGGAUAAUGCUUUUUUUCCUUCGCCGCUUUAUACCUUUUGUA